UAUAUAUAAGUUAUCGGAUAUUAUCAGAUUGCAAUGCUAAGAUGCAGGUGGCAUUCUCAGAAUUGCAAUCAGCACUCUCUCCCACCAGGGAAACGUAAUUGUUUAUAAUUUAAAAUGUAAGAACAUUCCUUGCCUAGAAAUCAGUGAAGUCACAUCAUUGUAAUUGGUAAACUUAAUUAUUCUUUGUCAACUGUAUUUCGCAAAUAAAGUUUUUAAAAAGGAA